rnacentral:rRNA from 1 species
AAUGCCGGAUGCUCCGACUCCUCGCAUGGGGUGUCGGGAAAGAUUUCAUCGGUAUGGGAUGGGGUCGCGUCCUAUCAGGUAGUCGGCGGGGUAACGGCCCACCGAGCCUACGACGGGUAGCCGGCCUGAGAGGGCGACCGGCCACAUUGGGACUGAGAUACGGCCCAGACUCCUACGGGAGGCAGCAGUGGGGAAUAUUGCACAAUGGGCGCAAGCCUGAUGCAGCGACGCCGCGUGCGGGAUGACGGCCUUCGGGUUGUAAACCGCUUUUGAUCGGGAGCAAGCCUUCGGGUGAGUGUACCUUUCGAAUAAGCACCGGCUAACUACGUGCCAGCAGCCGCGGUAAUACGUAGGGUGCAAGCGUUAUCCGGAAUUAUUGGGCGUAAAGGGCUCGUAGGCGGUUCGUCGCGUCCGGUGUGAAAGUCCAUCGCUUAACGGUGGAUCUGCGCCGGGUACGGGCGGGCUGGAGUGCGGUAGGGGAGACUGGAAUUCCCGGUGUAACGGUGGAAUGUGUAGAUAUCG